rnacentral:rRNA from 1 species
AGAGUUUGAUCAUGGCUCAGAUUGAACGCUGGCGGCAGGCUUAACACAUGCAAGUCGAGCGGGGGAGGUUACUUCGGUAACUGACCUAGCGGCGGACGGGUGAGUAAUGCUUAGGAAUCUGCCUAUUAGCGGGGGACAACAUUCCGAAAGGAAUGCUAAUACCGCAUACGCCCUACGGGGGAAAGCAGGGGAUCUUCGGACCUUGCGCUAAUAGAUGAGCCUAAGUCGGAUUAGCUAGUUGGUGGGGUAAAGGCCUACCAAGGCGACGAUCUGUAGCGGGUCUGAGAGGAUGAUCCGCCACACUGGGACUGAGACACGGCCCAGACUCCUACGGGAGGCAGCAGUGGGGAAUAUUGGACAAUGGGCGCAAGCCUGAUCCAGCCAUGCCGCGUGUGUGAAGAAGGCCUUUUGGUUGUAAAGCACUUUAAGCGAGGAGGAGGCUCCUUUAGUUAAUACCUAAAGUGAGUGGACGUUACUCGCAGAAUAAGCACCGGCUAACUCUGUGCCAGCAGCCGCGGUAAUACAGAGGGUGCGAGCGUUAAUCGGAUUUACUGGGCGUAAAGCGUGCGUAGGCGGCUUUUUAAGUCGGAUGUGAAAUCCCUGAGCUUAACUUAGGAAUUGCAUUCGAUACUGGAAAGCUAGAGUAUGGGAGAGGAUGGUAGAAUUCCAGGUGUAGCGGUGAAAUGCGUAGAGAUCUGGAGGAAUACCGAUGGCGAAGGCAGCCAUCUGGCCUAAUACUGACGCUGAGGUACGAAAGCAUGGGGAGCAAACAGGAUUAGAUACCCUGGUAGUCC